AAGAGGAGGAGGAGGGGGAGAGAGGAGAAGUUACAUCUCCUCUGCUGAUGGAUGAAGGAUGGGACAUAAAAGGAGAUGGAUGUUCAGUGGCGGUCCCACGUAUUACCAGAUAUACCUGGUAGCCCAGCACUCCUCUGCCAGCAUCAGGAACAUGGAUCCUCUUCUGUUGCAUCAGCUGGACGUCAGCAGGAGCUGCAGAUCUCCAGACCUCUGGACAGCAAAAUUCUUCUUCCAGCUUUGUUGGAUGCAGCUGGAGGAGCACCGGCAGCCGCUG